UCACCCGGUCGUGCUUGGCAAUCCCUAAUGCAUAUGGGAAUUAGGAUGUUAAAGUCGCCAAAGCCUGUUCACUUACCAACCCUACCCACAAAUACAUCCAUAGGUUCAUGUCCUUCUCAAUUUGCGACAUAGGAGAAAUCAAUGGGUCGGUUAGAAAAAUCGAGUUGUGCUUCUUUUGGUGCAUGGAAAAUAACAAGAAAAUGGCUUAUAGUCAAUGGCUUGCGG
rnacentral:lncRNA from 1 species